rnacentral:rRNA from 1 species
GACGAACGCUGGCGGCGUGCCUAAUACAUGCAAGUUGAGCGAUGAAGCUUGGUGCUUGCACCAAUUUGAAGAGCAGCGAACGGGUGAGUAACGCGUGGGGAAUCUGCCUUUGAGCGGGGGACAACAUUUGGAAACGAAUGCUAAUACCGCAUAACAACUUUAAACACAAGUUUUAAGUUUGAAAGAUGCAAUUGCAUCACUCAAAGAUGAUCCCGCGUUGUAUUAGCUAGUUGGUGAGGUAAAGGCUCACCAAGGCGAUGAUACAUAGCCGACCUGAGAGGGUGAUCGGCCACAUUGGGACUGAGACACGGCCCAAACUCCUACGGGAGGCAGCAGUAGGGAAUCUUCGGCAAUGGACGAAAGUCUGACCGAGCAACGCCGCGUGAGUGAAGAAGGUUUUCGGAUCGUAAAACUCUGUUGGUAGAGAAGAACGUUGGUGAGAGUGGAAAGCUCAUCAAGUGACGGUAACUACCCAGAAAGGGACGGCUAACUACGUG